rnacentral:tRNA from 2 species
GGUGAGGUGGCAGAGUGGUCGAAUGCGGCGGCCUCGAAAGCCGUUGUACCGCUUGUCGGUACCGGGGGUUCGAAUCCCUCCCUCACCGCCA